rnacentral:tRNA from 1 species
GCUGUGGCUCAAUGGAAGGUGCCUCUGCUUGGCAUGCGGAAGUUCUCAGGUUCAAUCCCAGUCAUCAGCA